AGCAGCAUGGCGCAGUUGGAAGCGCGCGGGGCCCAUACUCUAUGCCACCCCGAGGUCACUCGAUCGAAACGAGUUGCUGCUA
rnacentral:tRNA from 1 species